GCAAACAAUGCAGACUAAUGUAAUGAAAUAAACAGAUUUACAACCAUUAGUACUCGCGGCGCGUAUCGUACUUUAUAUUCAAACGUAUUAAGAGAUUUAUGUCACAUUUCUAUGCUGUAUAACGAGAUGAGACCCUUUUCACGUUACUAUGCUCUUAUCAUUAUUCUAAAAAAAAAAAUCACAAAAAGACGCUGUUUUAGAACAUUCUAAUUCAGGACACCUCCUUAAACUACACAUCUCGCAAUUACCCUCAAUUAAAAAUUUCAAAACUCAGACCGCAAUUAUUCUUUUCGCUUAAUCAGGAUGGAUUAAAUUUAACGAAGAUCUACCAGUUCUAGCAAUUUUUCCUCCAUUUAACAACAUAUAAUUUCGAUUACAUAUUAAUUACAAACGAUAACUACUAGGAGGUUGGACAGUUUCUAAUCUCUGCUAAUAUUCUCAUACUUAACAAACAACGUUGAUAACAAGAUUUUCAAUGAAAAAGAAGUGUCGACAAAUUAUCUUAAUAUUUAAAUUAAUCUUAUAACAUUCUGACUUGCUUUUGUAUCUACUUCCUCAGAAGAUAGAUUUCUUCUCUAAUAACUAUUAUUAUUAUAUAUUAUGAAUCACAAUUUCUACGAUUUCUAAUUACAAAUCCUCGUUCUGACAUCCGUGAACCACUUUCGCAAUAAAUAUAUUUGUACAAUAAUCGCAAUCAAACUAGUACAAGGAUAGUUAUGAAGUAAGGCAUAAAAUAGACUAGCAUCAUCAACUUGUCAAUCAACGUCUCAAGUCCACGACGAAUAGUAAACUAUCGAGUUAAAGCGUUGUCAUACGUAUAAUGAGCUGACGUCAAGAAUAUCAUUUUCUUAUUUUAUUCAACGCUGAGAAUAUCAGUGUCGUAAAUGUUAAGAGGUGUGUACAUUCACUACGACGAUGACGACCAACAAAUUUAAGUGCCGUUUCUUGAUCUUUUCUUCUUGUACUUCCUGUGUCUAUAACAGCAACGUCAUAUCAUUUAGCGAUUUCAACACUCAGAUAAAACUAAUCGAGAUGAUAAAAAAUUUCCUAAGAAUGAGUAAUAUUCUUCUUGGAAAGUCAAUGAUCUUAUCAAGCGAUCUCUGCCAGAAUAGGUGGUAACUGCAUUAGCAUAUUAAACGAUACAGUUAUAAUUAUGGAGAGAGUAACUGUCAAACAGCAGGAGCAAUUUAAUCUAGUAACAGCACCGAAAACAUCGCGCAUCGUGAAUAAAGUCCAGAUUUAUUUUUAACAUAUUACGCAGACCUGAUUCCGGGAAUAUGUAUAAACGGCCACACAUGGUACCAAGUAAAAUGUGAAUUCUAUGGAUUUCGAUGCUGAACUGAAAAAGACAACCUGAGGAGACUAAGACAUCUGUCAACGAAGAUGGAUAAGAGGGAAAUGAUUUAGAGACCGAGUUGCUCGGGCAUGCCAAUUGUCGAUUUAAAUCGAACCAAUUGACCAUUAUUGAGUAGUAAUGGUUACAGAACCAAGUCCUGGGUUAAUUACUAUUGAACUGGCAUAUCCACACAUCUGUCGUUUAUUCGGUUAACGGAAGGAAAAACAAGAUUUGUAACGCUAAAAAGAAUUAACAUCUGUUUUGACUUAUUAAAGUAUACCACUAAAGGAAUUAGAAUAUGAAAUUAGUUUCAAUGGAGGAUAGGAAUUUUUUAAAAUGUUAAAAGUGUGUUAAGCUAUUAUGGAAUGCGUUUACCUAAAAAAAUCCAUUAUAUUUAUACUUAUGCAUUUUGAAAAUAUAGUAAAACACGAGCCACCGAUGAUCAGCGUAGCGUUAUACGUGUUAAAAACAAAAGAAAAACGUAAAUGAACUUAUUACUUGGUCAUUUCGUUCUGUGAAAAUUUCUCUAUUCCAGCGAUCAUACAUUCUUAUUGAUUUGGAUAAUGUACAGCAUCUGUUACGUUAACCCAGUUAACCAGCCGUCUAAUCCUACAUUACGAAAAUAGAGAAUGUAGCAAAGUUUACGUAAUCCGGCCUGCCCGAUGAUGCAUCUUAAUUACCACAGGCGAGCAUAAUUUCAUUAUUUGCGUGUUCUUUCUUUACUUUGCGUUGAAUUACGUGACUUACUACCCUGGGAUCGUUUGUUCUUCGCUUAUGUCGACGGAACGAUAUUCCUAGCUUUUCUAUUCUGUGAAUUUAAUGGCGUGAGAAAUAAAAGAACUUUCGAAAAGAAAGGUAGGAAACAGAUGUUGAAACAACACUGGAAACAUCACUCAAAGACUUCUUUCGUUUCUGUGACUGUCAUUUAAAUUGAAUUUUUUCUACUAUAAUGUUUUCCUACUUUACUACUAAUCAAAUAGGUAGACUAUGGAUGUUUGUGCACUUAUGAGAAAUUUAAAAAUGUAAAAAUAUUUAUACAAAAUGCAAGUACGUAAAAUAUCCAAAGUAAAGCGUUCGCUGUAAUAUUUGGCGGAUAGAACAAAUUUCUAUGUAGGUUCCAUUUGUUUAGUUACAUUCAUAGCAAUAUCAAAAUGCAUAAACAUCCGUGGUCUAAUAAUAAUACAUAGUGUACCAAAAUAAUCUAAAUUUUCUUUAAUUCUAUAUUUCAAUUUCCUCCAGUCCUAAGAUGUUCCAACUUUUUCCAGAAAUAUCGAAAGAUUGUCAUUCGUCUCUCCGUACGACCUAAAAUUUUACUUCUUCAGCAAAUCGAGAUAUUCUCUAAAUAAAUAAAUGAAUUUAAUUAAACAAAAUUUCUCUAAUAGAACUAAAGGAGUACGUAGAAAAAGAAACAUAAAUAAAUGAAUUAAAGUAUGAUAGACAUAUUGUAUAACGAGAUACAAUCAUAUUUCAUUUGCAGUCUGGUUACCUUCUCAGCAUGAAAUAAAAACUUUUCCAUCAUGAAUAAUCAUUCGACUCAUACGGUUUCCCAAGCAGAGGCAGACCUGCACCACAAAUCGCGCAUCCUUCUCGAAUAAUAUCGGCAAGGAACGAUUUCAGAAGAAGAUACGGGGUAAAUAUCACGUGAAUACUCACGAACAACGACUAACGAACGCAAUUAGUUCAAUUAGCUCAUUGCAGUCGCUGUUCAUUUCUGAUCUGGAGCUCGUUGAUGGACUUGCGUCAGAAACGUGGUCAAACAAUCUCCAACGAAGAAUUAUGGCAUUCACUUUCAAGUAAUCUGAAUUUAUUGCAACCUGUUGUUUUAAUUUAAAUACAAAUUAACGGCGCAAGUGUAAGAUUAAUAAAGAUCUUCUCGUCAAA